GGCCCCGUAGCUCAGCGGUUAGAGCAAGCGACUCAUAAUCGCCAGGUCCCCGGUUCGAAUCCGGGCGGGGCUA
rnacentral:tRNA from 1 species